rnacentral:rRNA from 1 species
CCUANGGGAGGCAGCAGUGGGGAAUUUUGGACAAUGGGGGAAACCCUGAUCCAGCCAUUCCGCGUGAGUGAAGAAGGCCUUCGGGUUGUAAAGCUCUUUCGGCAGGAACGAAACGGCGGAUACUAAUAUUAUCCGUUACUGACGGUACCUGAAGAAGAAGCACCGGCUAACUACGUGCCAGCAGCCGCGGUAAUACGUAGGGUGCGAGCGUUAAUCGGAAUUACUGGGCGUAAAGCGUGCGCAGGCGGUGAUCCAAGUCAGAUGUGAAAUCCCCGGGCUUAACCUGGGAACUGCAUUUGAAACUAGGUCGCUAGAGUAUGGCAGAGGGGGGUAGAAUUCCACGUGUAGCAGUGAAAUGCGUAGAGAUGUGGAGGAAUACCGAUGGCGAAGGCAGCCCCCUGGGUCAAUACUGACGCUCAUGCACGAAAGCGUGGGGAGCAAACAGGAUUAGAUACCCGUNUANUC